GCCUUGGCGGGUUUGUAGUUAGGAAACUAGGCAAAGUUUUUCACUAGUCAACCUUACAUGUCUGUCCCACUGCAUGCUGGGUAAUGUAGUUUGUAUGUACCAAUUAGCCUACAGCUAGGAUUAAUAUAAAACUACAAUACCCAGCAUGCAAUUGGACAGUGGAGACAGAGGCUCCCAUUUCUAUUCUAUUCAGGCUCAACCUGCCAGCUCUACCCCCUGCCCUAUAGGGGGCCAUGUCGGAAGCCGUGUUGGAGCCCGAGUGAGGUCUCCAGGCAGGAAGAUUAGGGGGGACUCAGGCUCAAGGCCACUCCUGGGAGAAUGAGCUGGAGAAUAGGAGGGAUUGUACCGGAAGAGGCAAAGCGGCUUCACAUGACUAAAUAAACGCUCAGAGCUGCUGCACCGGCUGCUAGAUACAGCACUUGGGCCGGGCAAUGAUGCUGUGUAUUGGCUGAACCCUUCACCCACUGCCAUUUAUAUGUCCAAAUUGGAACCUUGUGCUUGUGGCUUGGGAAUGAAGGUUGUAGCUAUAAGUCGGGCUGGAAAUGUACAGAGGGUUCUAGAGCAGCAUAACGGACUCUAUAUAGAGCUGCUGUAAAUAACCGUCGCUAUUGUAUGCUAAUAUUCAAACUACUGACCCUCACAUUCAAACAGUUCAUAACAAUGCCCACCCUGCAUCUGUGAACUUCUCUCUAGAUACCGACCCACUUGUUACCCUUCCCUACUGUCCUGCUACUCAGCUUUUCUCUCAUUCCCUCCUCCAUGAAGAAAUACUAUCAUGAGAAAA